AUAAUUUACAUGUCGGGCUGACAGGUGCAUCAAACAAAGCGGGAAGUGGCGCAAAUGUAAAGGAAUUUCAACCCAAAAGCAGCUGAUAUUUCGCUAAGAGAAAAACGAAAAGAAUAUUUUUGUGUUGUGUUUGAAACUUGUGUUGCUGUGGAUAUAGCAGAGGCUUUGUUUACAAAAGAUCUGAAUCUGAACCUAUUGACCCUUUGGAUGCUGUCACAUCCUCCACGUUGGAAGAAAAACAAACUGUAUCAUGAAAGAUGAAAUCGCUUCGGCUGUCGUUUUUCUGACAGCUUUCAUAAAGAAAAACGAAAACCUAUCUAAAGAGCAAGUCAAAGAAUUUUCCGCCAAAUUGUCGCAACUGUUUGUUGACAAAUUCAAGAAUCAUUGGUACGACGACUGUCCCACCAAAGGUCAGGGUUAUCGCUGUAUUCGUAUUAACGAGAGUAGACCAUUUGACCCUGUGCUGGAGAAGGCAGCCAAUGAUGUUGGCGUGAAGUAUGAAGAUUUGAAACUUCCGACAGAAUUAACACUAUGGGUAGAUCCGAUGGAAGUCUGUUGCAGAUUUGGUGAGAACCACGGAGCAUGUUCCACUGUGGCAUCUUUUGAUAAAUUGGACUCUGCCGGGGAAUCUAAUGGUGAAUCAACCGGGGAAUCUUCUGAAGGCUCAGGAGAUGAGACCACACCCGUCACACCAUUAAUGAAAAUCGAUGAAAUCUUGAAGCAGCAUGAAUUAUCAUCUGGGACCAAAUCGCAGGAGCGGUUCUUAUCAAUGCGGUUGAACAAAAAUGGAACUCCGAAACGUGCGAACGGUUACACCACACCAGGAAAUAAUCAAAACCACCAGCGGAUUAAUAGCAAAGCUAGAAAUAACUAUAACAACUACCAAAACAAAGCCAAACAGCAGUUCAUGCAUGGACCUAAGAAAACCUUCCCGCAGUAUCAUCCACAUCAUCUACCAACAGGGUUCAAUCCUUAUGCAACAGGUCCUCUUUCUCAUCCUCACCCGCAACCUCCUACAAGCAGGAAUGAUAAAUUCCAUUGGGUUAGAGGGCACGACCUUAUUAAGGCAUCUCCCAUGAGAGGUCAUGACCUCAUUAAAUCGUAAUCGUGAGACACCACUUAUGAGGUGUGUCAUGACACGCCACAGUGAGAUUUUGAGUAUUAUGCCAAGAAGUUGAAAAAGAGAAAUGAGACUUUUUCAAAUUGAAAUUAUUUAUAAAUCUUGCACCUGGUGUAUGCAGGAGUUGUUCUGAGUAGUGGAAUUAUCCAAUGAUGAUCACCUCUUGUACCGCUAAGCCUAGAUUCUAGUAAAUUAUAAACUUACAACUGAUCUCAAAUGAAUACUAUUUAAGGGUCAAUAUUUGACAUAAUACUAAUCCCUUUAUCAUAUCCACAUAUCCAUAAUAUAACAUAUUUGCUUGCAAUUGUAUCUUUCAACACUAACUCAACUUGGACCUGAUAGGAGAGAAAACAUUUUGAAACAAAUUAAAUUGAAUAACCUUGGAUAGAAUGUUAAAAGUUCCAUGUACUUGCAUUUACGACCAUGGUGCCAAAUGAGUGUUUGGUUAAUACCCACCUAAUUUAAAAAUACCUCUAUCUUACAGAUGAAAUCCAAGUAUUGAUUUAAAGUACUAACCAUUGAAUAUAUAGAUAUAAAAGUUAAGAAAAUAAAUUUAAGGGCAUUAGAACAUAUCUUAGCAUUUUUGACAAUUCAUAAUCAAGUUUGCCCAGUAAGUCAGCCCCCCCCCCCAAAAAAAAAUAAUCAAAACAGAGCAGAGCCGAAUAUUUAUUAGCAAUGUUAGGGAAAUAAAUUAAUACACUUAUCCAGUCCUUGCUUACAGCUUUACUGAAUUUAAUUGAAAAACUUGGUAACAUGGUCUUUAUUGAAUGCUAUAUGGGUUUAUGCCCUCCAACCAAUGGCUCGCUUGAAUGAAAAGUAAUUAUGCAAUGACCUUAUAUUUCAAUAUAAUUACCACCAAUUUAUGCAUUAUUAAUGUCAACUUUUAUGUAUUCAAACC
rnacentral:misc_RNA from 1 species